UAACCCGGUAGGCAACUCAAGCUGACAAAUCUAAGCACAUCUGAGCUGCAGAACAAAGGAGAUUCCAGGAUCCAAGAUGUUUCUGCCAGCAUCCUGAUGCUGCUUCCAGACUGACAAGGUCAGAACCCUGCUAAAGGACCAGGACUUGCUUUUCUGCUCAUCCCUGUUGGCCCUGGGAACAAGCAGAGGCCCAGGACAGAUGAAUCUCUGGUGUUGCAUACACUAGCCUUUCUCAAGAGGCUCUUUUCCAAGACAUCAUGUGAAACCCUGCUGUUUCUGGAUCAGAUAAAUCAACGAUAAUCUUUAACUCAGCGAGGGGCGAGUCAUGGGGGGUGUUCUCCUGCAUCCACGGUAUACUGCUAAAAUCAGAUUUCCUGGAGCCCAUUCACCAGAGGUUUUGAACUUGCCAGAUUGCUUGCUGGGCCUAAAAUACUGCGUGCCAUGUGGUGACCCUGGCUUGGCUGUUUCCAUGAGUUCUCUUUCCCUAAGUCACAACUGACACUUCCAAGUCACACAGAGGAAAAGAGCUCCAGACCCCACAUUUCCAUUAAUGGCCAUCGGCCAGGUCUGGCGUGUGCACUGUGCACUACUCUCUUCUGUGGUUGAGUCUGCCUUGGGGGGGGAGCAGAGAGAACUGAAGAAGACUGGGGGUGGGGAUGCACGUGCCUUCUGCAGUCCGAUUCCUAUUUCCCCUCCCCAUUUCUUCCUCCGCAGCAACUUUUGGCAUAAGGAUUUUUUUCUCCAAACUUACGGUAACUCGUUCAUCUGGUUAUGCUUUCCUUUAUUCAUCUGCUUAUGUAAGCUACACCAAUGGAGCCUUUGUUGUGAGGUAAAUGUGCGGGAGCCGUGAGAUUUAAACUCGGCAUAUAAAAUAAUGGAUUUCAUCACGAUGUCUCCACACUUGGCUAUAGUUGGACGUUGCUCACAUUCACCCUGUCGUUCGUUAACCUCUUGUUCUUUCUGCUGCUCCCUGUCUUCCCUCCAAACAGUCUCCCUUCUCCUUUUGUGUUUUGUAUGUAUUGGAUUUGGAUUCUAAAGAGCUGGAUUCAGGAGGUGGGGAGAAAAACUAGUUGCCAUGAAUUGAAAUUCUGCCAAAGUCUGCAAAUGCUAAGUUAAUAUUUUAUGUGGCGGAUCUGUGGAUGGCUUGUCUUUUAACCUGUGUUUCUAAGUUUUCUUUCAGUCAGACAUAUUAAUAUUUGUAUAAGACAAGUUAUUCAAAAGGUGACUGCAUGAUGAACAUGUGCUACACGCAUGAGGAGGUGCAAGGUGAUCCACAGUGUGAUCCGUCGCUGCAGUCAAGGUGAGCGACCUCAUCAGGAUGGGCUGUGCAUCCUCAAACUAAUUUGCAACCCAAACGCAUGGUAUGGAUUUAACUCCAAAGACCAGAGGACACAGAGAAAAGAUUCAAGGGAGUUCACCUUAGGAGCUGCCUCACCAGAAGGCAGAUGAAGACCCACAUUUUAAAUUAGUUUCAUUCUAAUGUCGAGGGACACAACUCACAGAACCGGAAGUGACGUCGUUUUGUUCUUGAAGAUCACCUUCAUAUCAGCUUAUCUUUGCAACAACAACAAAGAAAUGUCUGUAAGGACCAGAUCAUUAUUACAAGAGGAGCUGAGCUGAGCUGCUGUGAGCAGAUAACAUUUGGGAGAGGUCUUAGAAAUCAUCAAAUUCCCCAUUUUUCAGUGCUGCCACUGAGUAGUAGAGGUUAGCUCAGCGGGAAAGUGUUUGUCUAGCAUGCACCAAGCCCUGGGCGCCAUCUCCAUCACAGCAAACAGACAAACAAAACAUGUCUGAUCGACACUAAGGAUGGUUGGCUAUCACUCGCCGAUGGGAAAAUUUGCUACUGAGUAAGGACUGUGUUCUGAUUAGUUAAGGGCUAUCGUUACAAAGUUCCACAAACUGUAUGUCUUGGACAACAGAUGUUUGUUGUUUCCUGGUUCUGGAGUCCAAAUCAAGGCAUUGGCAGGGUGGUUUCCUGAGGCUUGAGGGAAGCUCUGUUCCGUGCCCCUCUUGGCUAGUAGUUUUCUAGUCUCUCUGGAGCUUCUUAUCCUGUAGAAGCAUUGUUUUAAUUUUUAAUCUCUCCUUUCCGCACAUGUGCACCUUCUUGUUGUUGUAUUUUGUUUUUUUGAGACAGGGUUCCUCUGUAGCCCUGGCUGUCCUGGAACUUGCUCUGUAGACCAGGCUGGUCUCAACUCUUCCUCUCAAGUGCUAGGACUAGAGACAUGUUCUACCACCUCCCAAUGUUGUGCAUCUUUUUCUAUGCCCAUGUUAUUAAGGACACCACCCACACUGGAUUAGUCUACUCCAAUGACCUCAUCUUGACUCAUGUCUGCAAUGACUCUACUUCUGUAUAAGGUUAUAUCUUGAGAUACUGAGACUAGGAUCUCAGUGUAUGGAUUUGGUAUAUACUCUAUAACAGAAAUCAUCUAUAAUGUGUUGGAUCCUUAUAGGAGGAAUGUAAGCUGGAUAUGAUUUGCAUUCUACUGAUACACCAGGCCCAGUGAGCUAGGCAGCAGAGACACAUCCCACCAGAAGCCUGUGCAUUUGUUAGGGUUCUCUAGAGCCACAGAACUUAUGGAGUGAAUCUAUUUGAAUGACUUACAAGCUGUGGUUCAGCUAAUUUAACAGUGGCUAGCUGUGAGUGUAAAGUUUAAGAGUCUAGAGGUUGCUCAAACCCACAAUGCUGGUCUUCUGUAUAUGCUGGAGUCCCAAAGAAAUUGGCCCCAAUGCCAGUGAAGGAAUAGAUGUGCUAGUAAGACAAGUGCACACAGAUUAAAAGCAAAAGCUUCCUUCUUCUAUGUUCUUAUGUAUACUUGCAGCAGAAGGUAUGACCCAUAUUAAAGGUAUGGCUUCCCACCUCAAGAUCCAAAUUAAAGGCUGGUGUCUUCAUGCCUCAAGGGUCCAGAUCAAAGGUGUGGCUUCGUGCCUCAAGGGUCCAGAAUUAGAUUCACUCACUUCAAACAAAGAAGAUUUUUUUUAACAGGUUUGCCCCCCACCUUCCAUUUCUGAAUUGUAGCUCAAUUCAGAUAUAGUCAUGUUGACAACCAAGACUAGCCAGCACUCCAUGUGUGCAUGGACUCCAGAACCUCGCUGGGCAUUUGGAGCUCAGCCCUGGGUGGGGCAACCUUUGGAUGGCUUGUCCUUCAGUCUAUACUCCAUUCUUUCUCCCUGUAUUUCCUUUAGACAAGAGCCACCAA
rnacentral:sRNA from 1 species